rnacentral:lncRNA from 10 species
CACGUCAGUCACUCACGCAUCCCUGUUUGCCCUGCUGCUGACCUCGCGCGAGGCGGCCACCUUGUGGGAGAUGUUUUCGUGAGGCAACAGACGCUGGCCGUUCCCAGCGUCACGCAGAGUUCGGAUCCACUCUAGCGAGAGACCACAGCGUCCGGGAGCAGCUUGUGAAACUCUGGCGAGCGUCAGCCUUGAAAAUAAAAAGUAUUGGCAGCCGUCGACGAGCACAGGUUCCUAAAACUUAGAUCGAAGAGAAGUACCAGCCUUCAAAAAUAAACCAGCACCAAAAGCCCCCUGUGCUUAUAGGUGACGUGCGGGCUGGGAGUGCAGUGGUGUCACCUCGCCUUGUAUGUCAUCGCCGGUUGUGUGCCUAACAUACAUACAAAAAGGAUAACUCGAAUUUAGCCAUCACGCAUUUUCAAAAAUACUGCUUGGAAAUUGAAUGUUUGGAGAAAAGAUAUAAUCUGGGGUUUCUACACGGUCUGAAUUGGGUUCAUUUCCGUUUAGCAAACAUUUAUUGAGCUCCCAGCGUGGGUCACAGAAUUCAGUAAACCUGAUCCCGUGUUCAAGGUGCUAUAUUCCGAUGCAGGGCAGGGCGAUG